GUAAAUAUAUUUUUGUACCUCCUCAGAGUUUUGUGUCAGAAUAUGGUGGUGUCGGGAGACCUACUGCAGCCCACUCACUUAUGUCACCCUGGCUAUGGCUCACACCUCCAAAGGCCUGCACUUCCAAACUGAGUCCUCCCCUACUGACCGAAAGCUGUCCCCUUGCCUCAGACUUAUAGAUUGCCUGAGGUGAGGAGAGGGGGAAUAAUAAAGGGAGAGCCUAUCGCAAGAGGAAAAGAAAACUAAAGACUCUACUAGGACAAAUAGUAAAUGAUUGGAAGACUCCAUUGCCAUCCUGUAAACGCCGAGCUACUUUCUGACACGUGUCAAAUACUUUCCCAGGAUUAUUUCAGGGGAGUUGUAACUUUACAAAUUUUGGUUUCUUCAAGCAAGAUGACCAAGAUUCGCUGAAGUAUAAGCAGCUUGGGGAUCUUAUCAGGCAGAAACUUCACUUGUGAUUCCUAAACCUGAAA
rnacentral:lncRNA from 1 species